rnacentral:rRNA from 1 species
AGAUUGAACGCUGGCGGAAUGCUUUACACAUGCAAGUCGAGCGGCAGCGCGGGGCAACCUGGCGGCGAGCGGCGAACGGGUGAGUAAUGCAUCGGAACAUGUCCAUGUCGUGGGGGAUAGCCCGGCGAAAGCCGGAUUAAUACCGCAUACGCCCGAGAGGGGAAAGCCGGGGACUCGCAAGGGCCUGGCGCGAUUGGGUUGGCCGAUGUCCGAUUAGCUAGUUGGCGGGUAAUGGCCCACCAAGGCGAUGAUCGGUAGCUGGUCUGAGAGGAUGAUCAGCCACACUGGGACUGAGACACGGCCCAGACUCCUACGGGAGGCAGCAGUGGGAAUUUGGACAAUGGGGGCAACCCUGAUCCAGCCAUUCCGCGUGAGUGAAGAAGGCCUCGGUUGUAAAGCUCUUUGUCCGGAACGAAACGGUAGCGUGAAUAUCGCUGCCUACUGACGGUACCGGAAGAAUAAGCACCGCUAACUACGUGCCAGCAGCCGCGGUAAC